UGGGGAAUAUUGCACAAUGGGAGCAAGCCUGAUGCAGCCAUGCCGCGUGAUGUGAAGAAGGCCUUCGGGUUGUAAAGCACUUUCAGUAGGAGGAAAGGUUAGUAGUUAAUACCUGCUAGCUGUGACGUUACUUACAGAAAAAGCACCGGCUAACUCCGUGC
rnacentral:rRNA from 1 species